ensembl:antisense 5330439B14Rik RIKEN cDNA 5330439B14 gene
UGGUUUGUAACAGAGUGACACAUGGAUGGGAUGCGUGACAGGCGAGUGGACUCCAGAGUUGCUCUGCUGAGUUCUGGAUAGAGUCCAAGAGGGCAAGUGUUUGCUCCAUUUUCAUGCUACAGCUAUGAAAAGAAGCCAUUGCGAUGACAACUCUUCAUUAAAAGUCACCACAGUAUUGAUGGAUCCAAUGUUGUGAGACUUGGCCUAUGCCAUCCGGGCUACAGAAAUCACAGUAUGUUCUACCUGUGUUUGAGGCAUUUAUUUCAUUUUUCCAAAUGAUGUUGAGCUGGGCUGGAUGAGAACCAAUGGAGACAGAAAACCAUACAUUUACAACAGGUAGAUGGAAAUUUCUGUGAGCCCAUGUCUCCAGUGUCUUAAAGUGAUGGCGUGCCUUGCAAGACACUCAAGAUCAUCCAACUACAUAGUCAUGGAUAAUUUAUCUCCUCGUCUGUCACCUUCUACUAUUUCAUACCCUUUGUUUGAAGGAUUUUGUGAUUUUAACCCUUUUUUGUUCCUUGGGAUAUACUGCCUCUCAAUUGCUCACUCUUCAGGACAAUGUGAGUUUCCUGCCAAUGUUAGAUUCAGGAAAAGAACCAAAGAAUGCAAGAGCUGGCACACCUGUGGGCUCACAACUCAAAUGACAAAUUCUUGACAAACCAAAUGGCAUGUCAACAUGUGUCAACAGCAUGUUCGCACGUGUCAAGGGCGAGGAAGAAGCAGUCACUUUUUGAAAGGAUGGUGGUGAGACUCACAUGGAAACAUGAGGAGUUAGCAAAGCCAGUUGUCUUCUCCACAAAACUCUUCACCUUAAACACUAGAGCAGAAACAGUUCCCAAUCAUCAAAUGUACAGAAUAGUCUCACUUACUUAGAGGCAACCCGGAAGUAUUUCUGGAUGAAAUAAAAGGCUACACCCAGGGGCGCAAGGGCGACGAGAAACACGGGUGUAGCAUAGGAGAUCAUCCCAAUAGCAGACAGGCAGAGCAGGGUGGAGCGCGUCAGCGACUCCAAGGUCGGAGGGAUAUGCUGUGGGGAGAGAGUACAAAGGACAAUACAUUUAGCUCAUGUGCAAUGUUCGUGGCAGUGUAAUAACAUUCAUGUUUAUAUUAAUGUUAAGUAAUGGGAGCCACCACCAAAGCAAGCUGUAGGCCUGCUCACCGUAGACAAUUGCACAUGUGUCCACAGUUCAGCAUCGACGUAUCAUUGACAUGGUGUCCACCUGCUUGUCUCGGAUACUAUAGAUAAAUGCUUAUACCAGAAGUUUGUUUGCUUUACGAUGAUCAAAUAUGGGUAUUUUCCCAUCUGUGUUUUCAAACAUUCCUUUCGAAUGGAUAUACACUGUUUAAAACUCAUCUAGUCUUCCCACUAUAAAAUGUAUAGAUUAUUUUUUCAGC